CGCCCUAGGCUGGAUUGUGAAUUCAUGCACAGAACCAGACCUUCUCUACACCUAAUGCCAAAAAAGCCUGCAAAGUUCUCCUCUGUUACAAAGCAACACACAAAGCCCUCCUAGUCCAUCACCUGUUGCUCAGGGCAUCUAAGAGUAGAAACACACUGAGCCCCUGGAGCCCACACUGAGAAGCUGAGCACUGAGAAGGGACCAGGAUGUGAGGAACCACAUUAGUGGUCUUUGGCCACUAUUUCUGCUGAGCAAAAAUCAGAAGGCUUAUUCCUUUGUUCUAGAAAUCAGAAAACAAGGAGAAGAAGCACUGCUUUAAUUACAUUUAGAGGUUUCUCCUAGAGCAGUGUCCCUGGUAUGGCAGCAUGGCUGUUUGUUCCUGAAUUAGUCAACCAUCCUAGCAGGACCUUGUAGCUAAUGACUACAAUAGCAAGUAUGGCUUUGAGUGCCACAGAGAUUCAAAACUGAUUCUUCAGACCUACGCAUGAGGCAGUUCUCCAGAUCUAUUGAGGACAUGGAAUGGUUUGGAAACCAAACUAAGGAACAAGGCACAAACCCAAUCUUUAUAGGACCAGGGAGAAAAUGCUAAGAGGAAAAAGAGCAAUUGUGGUUUUAUUCCAUCAUUAUUAGCUAUAACUUGCAAUUGCUGUGGGGUAGUUCAGAGUUUAUUCAGGUUGACAACUUGAGUCAAAAGUUUAUUUCAUUCCUGAAGCUGCAGACUUGAAAUGCUUCACGUUCUUACAUCCCAGGGGAAUCCCGUAUGCAAAAUACUUGAAAAUACAUUUUUUAUCAGAAAGAAAAAGAGAUUUAAGCAUUGUUGCAAGUGUUUUAUAUAUUCAUAGAAAUCUCAAACUACUAGGUUAAUUCCUGAGACUAUUUUUACCUUUUGCACUUGUGCUUAUUGUUGUCUGAUUCCAUAUUCUCUUACUGCUUGUAACCCACACUAAUCCUAUCUCACUGCAUGCAAUAAUAAAGCAAAGAAUUACCUAAGGGAUGAAAAGAACGCAUUCCUCACUGUCUUGCAUAAGGAUGAAAACAGAACAUUUCAGGGACUUCAACAACUCAUUUCUCUGAAUAGGAGCAAAGAAAUAAAAGGCAGCAAGCUUUAACCACUCCACAAAUCCCAGCUCAAGUAAGAAGCUCACAAAGGGCACUAAGGCAGGGAGACAUGUGGACACGUGCACACCAUCACCUCAUCUGCAAAAAUGGACCUGUUUCACAGCACCAGCCAGUUCAUAGAGCCAAACUCCUUCCCCAGCCCCAUGGGAAAGCAGUGUCAAGGCACAGGAACUGGGAAGUGUCCCAGGGUGCAGAGAUAAUGCUGGCAGCAUUUGUGCCAGCAGUACUGGCUCAGACACACUGAAGUUCAGCUGAUGCUGUGCAGCAGUCUCUUCACACUGCUAAGUUUCAUGGGGCUGGCUGUAUUUUUCACAACAGCCACUUCGGUACAGGACGGGUGUAGUGAAAAGUUCUGGAGUUCUGUUUCCUCUCUCGUAAAUUCCUAUUUCUCUUCUUCUUUAAGACACCCACAACUUGAGAGACCUCAGGAGGCAACAUUGAAUUGCAAGCAGUUCCCAAAGUGAGCUUGUAAAAUAUGCUCUAGGUUUACAUUAUGUACUAUGGGGAUUUCAAAACUCUCUCUUUCAAAAACUGUUAUUUUUCCAGUUAAAAAUGCCU